rnacentral:tRNA from 1 species
GGGUCCAUAGUCUAGUGGUUAGGACGCGGCCUUGACGUGGCCGAGACCCCAGUUCGAUUCUGGGUGGUCCCA